rnacentral:rRNA from 1 species
GAUGAACGCUAGCGGCAGGCUUAAUACAUGCAAGUCGAGGGGUAGCAAGAUUGUAGCAAUACAAUUGUUGACGACCGGCAAACGGGUGCGGAACACGUACACAACCUUCCUACAAGUGGGGAAUAGCCCAGAGAAAUUUGGAUUAAUACACCGUAACAUAGCGAGUUGGCAUCACAUUGCUAUCUUAGCUUCGUCGCUUGUUGAUGGGUGUGCGGCUGAUUAGAUAGUUGGCGGGGUAACGGCCCACCAAGUCUACGAUCAGUAGCUGAUGUGAGAGCAUGAUCAGCCACACGGGCACUGAGACACGGGCCCGACUCCUACGGGAGGCAGCAGUAAGGAAUAUUGGACAAUGGACGCAAGUCUGAUCCAGCCAUGCCGCGUGAAGGAUUAAGGUCCUCUGGAUUGUAAACUUCUUUUAUAAGGGACGAAAAAAGGUCUUUCUAGAUCGUCUGACGGUACCUUAUGAAUAAGCACCGGCUAACUCCGUGCCAGCAGCCGCAUAACAC